GUAGGUGGCAAGCGUUGUCCGGAAUUAUUGGGCGUAAAGCGCGCGCAGGGCGGUUCGUUUAAGUCUGAUGUGAAAGCCCACGGCUCAACCGUGGAGGGUCAUUGGAAACUGGAGAACUUGAGUACAGAAGAGGAAAGCGGAAUUCCACGUGUAGCGGUGAAAUGCGUAGAGAUGUGGAGGAACACCAGUGGCGAAGGCGGCUUUCUGGUCUGUAACUGACGCUGAGGCGCGAAAGCGGGGGGAGCAAACAGGAUUAGAUACCCUGGUAGUCCACGCCGUAAACGAUGAGUGCUAAGUGUUAGGGGGUUUCCGCCCCUUAGUGCUGCAGCUAACGCAUUAAGCACCCCGCCUGGGGAGUACGGCCGCAAGGCUG
rnacentral:rRNA from 1 species